rnacentral:rRNA from 1 species
GAUGAACGCUGGCGGCGUGCUUAACACAUGCAAGUCGAGCGGAAAGGCCCAAGCUUGCUUGGGUACUCGAGUGGCGAACGGGUGAGUAACACGUGGGUGAUCUGCCCUGCACUUCGGGAUAAGCCUGGGAAACUGGGUCUAAUACCGGAUAGGACGAUGGUUUGGAUGCCAUUGUGGAAAGUUUUUUCGGUGUGGGAUGAGCUCGCGGCCUAUCAGCUUGUUGGUGGGGUAAUGGCCUACCAAGGCGUCGACGGUUAGCCGGCCUGAGAGGGUGUACGGCCACAUUGGGACUGAGAUCCGGCCCAGACUCCUACGGGAGGCAGCAGUGGGGAAUAUUGCACAAUGGGCGCAAGCCUGAUGCAGCGACGCCGCGUGGGGGAUGACGGCCUUCGGGUUGUAAACUCCUUUCGCUAGGGACGAAGCGUUUUUGUGACGGUACCUGGAGAAGAAGCACCGGCUAACUACGUG